rnacentral:lncRNA from 1 species
CAGCGUCCAGCCUGGCUUCAUAGCCCGCAAUGCCUGCAUGGUCCGUGAUCUUUUUGGGUUAGCACGUAUAGGUAAUCAUCUCGAAAGAUGUAGACCUCAUAGUGAUAGGCAUUUCAAAUGCGGCCUAAAGCACGGUCUCUGGGCUACUAAACUCUAUAAAGAAUUUAGCGCAGCCAGUGCUUAGGACUCCAUCACCCUAUGCUUUUCCCAAAAAAAUGCAAGAUUAUUUUGCAUAAGGACCAUUAGUUUCGACUUAAUUAUGUGCUAUGUUUUCCAUGCAAACAUAAGAGAAUGCAAAAACAAAAGCAAGUCGAAAAAUUGUGAAUUAUAAAUGUAAAUAAAAUAUAAUUCACUAACUAAGAUCUGUUAUAUUUAUGAUUAAAC